rnacentral:miRNA from 1 species
CUUGUUUGUGGUGAUGUCU